AAAACUCAACAAGUUCCUUUUAGACUUGGAGGAGAACAUUGCGAUUGAUAUCAUUAAAACUCAACAAGUUCUUCUUAGACUUGGAGGAGAACAUUUUAUUCUCUAAGAUAAACGUCGUGCCUUUGGGCAGAGUUACAGUUGCUCUUCCGGAGCCUUCGAUCAAUUUACUUCCCAUGGUUUGACAUACAGAAGAAAAUAUACGAACAUGAGAAUAAACAACUUCAAUCCGUUUGUGUCACAUUUAAACAAUAUUUUCAAAAUCUGCUGAGGUUAGUCGACUAAACAUAAAAUCAUUAAUUUUUAUGCUGGUCAUCUGUUAUUAAAUAGAAUAGUUAAUAAGUGUUUGCUCAAUGUGUGCACAGUAUGCACAUAUUAGAGAAAAAUAUAACUAAAUUAAACAGUUUAUGCGUUAUAAUGAUCUGUAAUCACAUAUCUUUAAAUAAUAUAUCAUUUUAUUUCUUUAACCAAUAGUUGCCAAGUAGUAUGUGAUGAAUAAAUAAUUUUGAAUCGUUAAUUGUUAGCUGCAGUAAAGACGUAAAUUAUACGUGUAUAUCAAAUCGAGUUUUAAUAAAACUGUGUAUUAUUACACAAUCAUAACUACAUGUAUCAACCACCAAAUUUAUUCAUAAGACAUAAUCAAGUUCCAACAAUACAGAAUAUUGUAUGUUUAAUAAUUUUUUUAUUUGACUUGCAUAAAUAUAUAAAUAUCAAACUGCUCAAUCUUCUUUAAUCACCGGUCCAUCAUUGAUUAGGUGGUCUAUCUUCCCCUCAGGGUGCUCAAAGAAGUCUGCCACAUCCAAGUGGGUGAUGUCAAAGUUGUCGUCAGAGACAAAAUUCGUUUCAGGGCGUUUUNNN
rnacentral:lncRNA from 1 species